rnacentral:rRNA from 1 species
CCUACGGGAGGCUGCAGUGAGGAAUAUUGGUCAAUGGGCGUAAGCCUGAACCAGCCAAGUCGCGUGAGGGAUGAAGGUUCUAUGGAUCGUAAACCUCUUUUAUAAGGGAAUAAAGUGCGGGACGUGUCCCGUUUUGUAUGUACCUUAUGAAUAAGGAUCGGCUAACUCCGUGCCAGCAGCCGCGGUAAUACGGAGGAUCCGAGCGUUAUCCGGAUUGAUUGGGUUUAAAGGGUGCGUAGGCGGCCUUUUAAGUCAGCGGUGAAAGGAUUUGGCUCAACCAUAGAAUUGCCGUUGAAACUGGGAGGCUUGAGUAUGUUUGAGGCAGGCGGAAUGCGUGGUGUAGCGAUGAAAUGCUUAGAUAUCACGCAGAACCCCGAUUGCGAAGGCAGCCUGCCAAGCCAUGACUGACGCUGAUGCACGAAAGCGUGGAGAUCAAACAGGAUUAGAGACCCUUGUAGUC